CAAAUAAAUACUGGUAAAAUUAUCGUUUUGGCCGUGCAUCUAUUUUCCAAAAGUCAUAAUCGUUCAAAAUAUCCAUAAAAACCGUUGGAAAAAGAUAAUUUCAACUUUACGUAACCUAUUUGAGUAAUCGGUUUCUCCAUGUGGUGUUAAACUAUUGAGUAAUGUUUAUUUUUAAUACAAAGUUGUUAUUUGACCCGGAUUCUGGGCCAAAUGACCGUCGGCUAUUUGACCGGGACCUGCGGGGAUCGUGUGGGAUUGUAGUCGGGAUGGUUGGGGGCAUUAAACAAGUCAUUCCAUUAUGGUAUUAUUUAAUUGUAUAAUUUCUGUUGACAAAAGGAUUUAGUUUUAUUUUAGAUCUUUGUCAAAUAACCGGCGGUUAUUGUGCCGAGUACUGGUCAAAUAAUCCCUGCCUAUAAUAUAAUAGUUUUACAGUGUUGUGUAUUAUAUAGGUAUCUGUUACAUUUCCAGGAAGCUUUAAGGACCAACAACACAUCUCGGUACGACAAGUGGAGACUCGACCGUACAGACCCGUCCGGUCUCGCACACGACGCCGUUAACGGCAAACGGAGAAACGGCGCCGCCGCCGACCCGCGGGAGGUACUUUCUCCAUCACUGCCUAAAGUGGACCUGAUGUGAACUAGAAUGAAGUUGGCUGGACCUGCAGUGAAGUGGACCUGAAGCUAACUGGACCUCAAGUAGUCUGUGGAAGCUUCAAGGACCAACAACACAUCUCGGUACGACAAGUCGAGACUCGACCGUACAGACCCGUCCGGUCUCGCACACGACGCCGUUAACGGCAAACGGAGAAACGCCGCUGGGAGGCACUUUCUCCAACACUGCCUACAGUGGACCUGAUGUGAACUAGAAUGAAGUUGGCUGGACAUAAAGUUUACUGGACCUCAAAUAGUCUGUGUCACCCGACGGGAGUCAGAAACGUCAUUUUUGUGCGGACCGGCGACUCGACGGACCCCGGCCGAGGACGCCGCUCGAACCGCGGUUGCGGAGGAGCGCGCCGAUACGAGUCGGAGACGGCUCGUACAGUCGGCGCACGAGAGCGGUCCGGACGAAGACAUUCGGGAACCGAGGACGAAGACGCUCGUCGACUGCGGACGAAGACACCGGUCGACGCGCGAGGAAGAUGCUCCGGAACACGGGAAGAACGCCACACUCCCGAGUGCGGGAAGACACUCGUCAACGCAGAAGGAGACACGCAUCAAUGUCGGGCCGGCGCGAUUGUUUUAAAGACGAUUUAACGUGUAAAAUGAAUGUACGUGUUGUUUGUAACGAUUGUUAUAAUGUUUGUAGUAUUGUUUUUAGAGACCGACUCUGCGAAGACGGAGGAAGUCGAUACAUGUCGAGAAUGAAUUUAUUGAAGAUGUUGCCUGUGAUCACUAGGUGUUUGCACUAAUUUGGGGAGAUGAUUACGAUCGUAGAACGUCACGGAAUGCGGCGCGCACGUCAUUUGUGGCGGGACGCAUCCGUAAAUAACGGCAGC